GACGAACGCUGGCGGCGUGCUUAACACAUGCAAGUCGAACGGAAAGGCCUGCUUUCCCUUGUGGAUUGCGGGUACUCGAGUGGCGAACGGGUGAGUAACACGUGAGUGAUCUGCCCCCAACUUGGGUAUAAGCCUGGGAAACUGGGUCUAAUUCCCGAUAGGACUGCAGGGUGGUGCCUGUGGUGGAAAACGAUUUUCUAGUGGUUGGGGAUGAGCUCGCGGCCUAUCAGCUUGUUGGUGGGGUAAUGGCCUACCAAGGCGGCGACGGGUAGCCGGCCUGAGAGGGUGGACGGCCACAUUGGGACUGAGAUACGGCCCAGACUCCUACGAGAGGCAGCAGUGGGGAAUAUUGCACAAUGGGCGGAAGCCUGAUGCAGCGACGCCGCGUGGGGGAUGACGGCCUUCGGGUUGUAAACUCCUUUCGACCGCGAGGAAGCCACCUGGUUGGAAGGGUGGUGACGGUAGUGGUAGAAGAAGCACCGGCUAACUACGUG
rnacentral:rRNA from 1 species